AUAGAUGCAGAUCUCCCUCUAGAUCUAACGUUACAGUGUACAAAAAGAAGCCUCAUUCUUCUUGUUUUAAUCAAUCGUGGGUUGGUCCUUGUUGGAGGUGAACCAAACCAGCCCGAUUAUCUCUCGAUUCCCAGCCGGCUAGGAGCCCGUACAAAAUACAUGUGGCUGCACUGGGCGACGAUGACAAUCUAACUUCAAUUUCAAAGACCAAAUUCUGCUUUCCUUUAACAGAAGAAUGAUAGCAAACUCUCGAAUUUGUUAAAGAAAUAACCUAAGAUCACAAAAUACAGUGUGAGAUGUGUAAAUAGUCCACUGAAUUCAUGUAGUUAUAUCAAUUAAUACGUACUCACCGGAGUGUUCGUAGGUCCAUUUUGUGUGUGGAAAGAAAAGUUUCAGAAUGAAUAAAUUAGAUGACGUAAUGAGGUCAAAUGAAUAAUUAAUUCUGUAACACGAUACCACUAGUAUCGAUCACAAAGAAUCGGGGAAAUCGCGUAUUAAUGAAGCUCUUAGCCAAUGAAUAGGCCGGAUUAUGAAUAUCUUCAUGCUCAUGAAUGUCAAUGAGGGCUUAUUUUUGUCUUCAAAUGAUCGCGGUAGGCGGAGCCUAAUCUCAUUUGUUUUGUGCUGAACGCGCACGCAGCUUUCGGUCUAGUAAUAUAUUAUAAGGUCUUUGGCCAGAGGCGUUCCAUUUGUUAUUCUACUAGCUCAGCGUAACAAGUGACGAAACAAUAAAGAUCACCUCUGUCUUGUUUAUAGGCCUUAGAUAGAGUAAAAAAAAAAAUUCACAUGCAGAUCUGAUUGGAUAUUUUUUCCCCUCUGAACAGUGUCUGAUUACUGCCUACGUUGUAUCUGUCAGAAGACACGGGGCUGUUCUUGUUCCGGAGAUAAAGGAUGUGGACCAUUCAACAUUGAAGAAUCUUUCAUGUCUCCUGGAGCUGCAAUGAGUUACCACGAAUGCAAGGCCGAUGCCGUGUGCAGUCGCAAUGCAUUCCAGGACUUCGUGGAUCAAUUCGAACUGCGAGAAAGUUCUCGGGGUAUCUCGAAGUGCGAGCUGGCAUCUCGGAUCCAAAGAGGAGGCGCCGUGGGUUCCAACAGCCGGGCAGCAGACACCUUCUGGCUCUUGGUCCAAUCCUGCAUGAUCAAUGAAUAGACCUAAUCCUACCAGAAAUAAGUCAUUUUCGUCUUUAAAAAUGAUUUUAGAUUAAACAUGUUACAGUUCAGAUGCAAGGAACAAAAAAAUUAAAAUACCCUUCAUAUUCUAUGAUGGUUCUAUUUUGCCAGUUUUAAAAGUUACCAGUUACCUAUCUAUGAAAAGUUUGUAAAUUUCAUGUUUUCGAUUUGUUCAUAGAUCAUACUGAAUGAUCUGAAGUUGUUCGUAAUUGAACUUUUCUGCAUCCACAAUGUCUAGUGACCAUAAAAUCAGGAAUUAUUGAUAGUAGAAUUUAAGUCAUGCAAAUGAUGAUAAUAUUUACAUGAGGUUUCUUUAGUUUCCCUUUUCAUGAGAGGCCCAAUUUUUCUCCAAAAUAUAAUAGAAGUGGUAACAAAAUUAACAGCAUUAUGAUGGGCAUUUUUCCAAGAUGACUUGCUGCAUAUAAACUGUCACUAGGUAUCAUUUGGCUUAAAUUUUCUUUCGGUGGUAUUAAAACAACCAUUUUGUAACGUUUUUCAAGUUACAUUUAACUAUUGAAGCUGCGUUAGAUAUGUUAGAUCAAUGUUGCCUUCUGUUAAGGAUAACAUGUCCCCCCCCAAAAAAAAAAAAAAAAAAAAAAAAUUACAUCAUGUUUUGUUAUUUUUCACGUUGGGUGACAAGAACAAGUAAAAGAAUCUUUUAUGA